GGUAGUCCACGCCGUAAACGGUGGGCACUAGAUGUGGGGACCUUCCACGGUCUCUGCGUCGCAGCUAACGCAUUAAGUGCCCCGCCUGGGGAGUACGNCCGCAAGGCUAAAACUCAAAGGAAUUGACGGGGGCCCGCACAAGCAGCGGAGCAUGCGGCUUAAUUCGACGCAACGCGAAGAACCUUACCAAGGCUUGACAUAUAGAGAAAUCCGUUAGAGAUAACGGGUCCGUAAGGGCUCUAUACAGGUGGUGCAUGGUUGUCGUCAGCUCGUGUCGUGAGAUGUUGGGUUAAGUCCCGCAACGAGCGCAACCCUCGUUCUGUGUUGCCAGCAUUUAGUUGGGGACUCACAGGAGACUGCCGGGGUCAACUCGGAGGAAGGUGGGGAUGACGUCAAAUCAUCAUGCCCCUUAUGUCUUGGGCUGCACGCAUGCUACAAUGGCCGGUACAAAGGGCUGCAAUACCGCAAGGUGGAGCGAAUCCCAAAAAGCCGGUCUCAGUUCGGAUUGGGGUCUGCAACUCGACCCCAUGAAGUCGGAGUUGCUAGUAAUCGCAGAUCAGCAACGCUGCGGUGAAUACGUUCCCGGGCCUUGUACACACCGCCCGUCACGUCACGAAAGUCGGUAACACCCG
rnacentral:rRNA from 1 species